rnacentral:rRNA from 1 species
ACGAACGCUGGCGGCGUGCUUAACACCUGCAAGUCGAACGGAAAGGCCCCUUUGGGGGUACUCGAGUGGCGAACGGGUGAGUAACACGUGAGUAACCUGCCCUUGACUUCGGGAUAACUUCAGGAAACUGGGGCUAAUACCGGAUAGGAAUCCUUGCUGCAUGGUGGGGGUUGGAAAGCUUCGGCGGUUUUGGAUGGACUCGCGGCUUAUCAGCUUGUUGGUGGGGUAGUGGCUUACCAAGGCUUUGACGGGUAGCCGGCCUGAGAGGGCGACCGGCCACAUUGGGACUGAGAUACGGCCCAGACUCUUACGGGAGGCAGCAGUGGGGAAUAUUGCACAAUGGGCGGAAGCCUGAUGCAGCAACGCCGCGUGCGGGAUGACGGCCUUCGGGUUGUAAUCCGCUUUCAGCAGGGGCGAAGCUUGUGGUGACGGUACCUGCAGAAGAAGCACCGGCUAACUACGU